UACGGGGGGGGUAAGCGUUGUUCGGAUUUACUGGGCGUAAAGGGCGCGUAGGCGGUCGUGACAAGUCACUUGUGAAAUCUCCGGGCUUAACUCGGAACGGUCAAGUGAUACUGUCGGACUAGAGUACAGAAGGGGCAACUGGAAUUCCAGGUGUAGCGGUGAAAUGCGUAGAUAUCUGGAGGAACACCAAUGGCGAAGGCAGCUCGCUGGGACGUGACUGACGCUGAGACGCGAAAGCGUGGGGAGCAAACAGG
rnacentral:rRNA from 1 species